rnacentral:rRNA from 1 species
GAUGAACGCUAGCUACAGGCUUAACACAUGCAAGUCGAGGGGAAACGACAUCGAAAGCUUGCUUUUGAUGGGCGUCGACCGGCGCACGGGUGAGUAACGCGUAUCCAACCUGCCCAUCACUUGGGAAUAACCUUGCGAAAGUAAGACUAAUACCCAAUGAUAUCCCACGAAGGCAUCGGAAUGGGAUUAAAGAUUUAUCGGUGAUGGAUGGGGAUGCGUCUGAUUAGCUUGUUGGCGGGGUAACGGCCCUCCAAGGCAACGAUCAGUAGGGGUUCUGAGAGGAAGGUCCACCACAUUGGAGCUGAGACACAGUCCAAACUCCUACGGGAGGCAGCAGUGAGGAAUAUUGGUCAAUGAGCGAGAGCCUGAACCAGCCAAGUAGCGUGCAGGAAGACGGCCCUAUGGGUUGUAAACUGCUUUUAUAAGGGAAUAAAGUGGGUCACGAGUGACUUUUUGCAUGUACCUUAUGAAUAAGGACCGGCUAAUUACGUG